AAUAUGCGACAAUGUGCGAAAGCCUGAUCCAGCCAUGUCGCGUGUUUUAAGAAGGUCUUCGGUUUNUAAAGUACUUUAAGUUGGGANGAAGGGGUUGAGGCAAAUACCUUCAAUCAUUGACGUUACCAACAGAAUAAGCACCGGCUAACUUUGUGCCAGCAGUCGCAGUAAUACAGAGGGUGCAAGCGUUAAUCGAAAUUACUUGGAGUAAAGCGCGUGUAGGUGAUUCAGUAAGAUGGAAGUGAAAUCCCCGGGUUUAACCUGGGAACUGCUUUCAUAACUGCUGAGCUACAGUACGAUAGAGGGUAGAGGAAUUUCCUGUGUAGCGGUGAAAUACGUAGAUAUAGGAAGUAACACCAGUGGCGAAGGCGACUACCUGGACUGAUACUAACACUGAGGUGCGAAAGCGUGGGGAUCAAACAGG
rnacentral:rRNA from 1 species